rnacentral:lncRNA from 10 species
UUUUUUUUUUUUUAUUAAUAAAAGACAUAUGUGACACACCACUCAGAGCUUUCAGUGGGGAGAAAACGAGUUUCCCCCACUAGGUUAAUAGAAUUCCACCCAGAGGCAGACAGUUAGCAAACCACCUUCUCGGGCUGUGGCUGGGAAUCGCGCUACACUUGACAGCCCUUUCCAUGGGCCUCCCCGGCCCGCCUGCCCUCGGCCCCGAAGUCAGGGGAGACAGGGGCCAUUUCAGCUGCUCGCGCUCGCUUGCCUUCCCGUCCCUGCCGGAGUCAGCAGACCCUGACUUCUGGAGAAGCGUUGCUGCGAUGUGUCAGCUGCUCGGGGAGAGGCUGGAGUGAUGGAUUCCAAGAGCUGUCAGGAGAAAGGGUUUACGGUCAGUUAGGAACCGCGAGCUCCUGCCCGUGGAACUGCCGCUGGAAUUUUAAUGCUCUGUCUCCCUGUGUCUGGGCACUUCCUUCCCUCCUGGCCCCGCUCUUCAGGCAUAUGGAACAGGGCUCAUGUCGGAGGGUCCCUGGGGAGAUCCCAGGGCUUCCCUGGGUCCCAGUGUCACGGCCGAAAGCCAGAGACUAUGAGCAAUCUGAUGCUAGUCCCGAUGUCUUGGUUAUCUCUUGUGUAUCCAGCACCCAAGGGAAGGAGCAUCCCAUGGCUACAACUCUCAAGCAUCGAAAUGGAACCUGUGAGAGUUCUUCACCCCACAGGGAACUCCUUCCACCAAACUUAGGGGAGCGAGAAAGGGGUUGUAAGGACUUGCCUUUGUAUCUCCCCAGCCCCUGCACAGGGCUGGAUUUGCAUAUGUUAAUAUGGAGAACUGCAACUAUUUAAUGAGAAGCAGUGGGCCACGUGGGUGAGCAGAAUUCCUUAGAGUAUUUUUUUCAGAUGUCUUAAUUCACUCUCUCUUUGUUGUAUUUCAGCAGAUCCAGGUAUUUGCACUGAGUUGGUCCUGGUCCCCACUCCUGUCCCCCAAAUCUCUGAAACCACAGAUCUCAUUAGAUGCCAGGCUCAGCCUUGUGUUUGGAGGGUGAUGGUGGGCGGAGUGCUCUGCCUACCUGGAAGCAAUGCCAGGAUGGCUGGAGGUAGCCUACUCCAGGCCAAGGAGCCCCAGCCCAGAGGUUGGGCGGGGACGUGCCUGAGGGGGGUGGGGAGGAAAGGAUAGAAUUCCAAAGAGGAGAACCCUAGAUGGAGAGAGCCCUCUGGGCUUUCAGCCCUUCAUCUGGGUUCCACUAAAAACACAUUUUGCGUGUUUCUGUUGUUCUUAAGUCUGGGUUUAUUUCAAGGGGAAAGUUAUAAAG